rnacentral:rRNA from 1 species
UACGGAGGGUGCAAGCGUUGUCCGGAAUCACUGGGCGUAAAGCGCACGUAGGCGGCUUUGCAAGUUAGAGGUGAAAGCCCGGGGCUCAACUCCGGAAUUGCCUUUAAAACUGCAUCGCUAGAAUUGUGGAGAGGUAAGUGGAAUUCCGAGUGUAGAGGUGAAAUUCGUAGAUAUUCGGAAGAACACCAGUGGCGAAGGCGACUUACUGGACACAUAUUGACGCUGAGGUGCGAAAGCGUGGGGAGCAAACAGG